CCCUUAGAUGUUCUGGGCCGCACGCGCGCUACGCUGAUGCAUUCAACGAGCCUAUCCUUGACCGACAGGUCCGGGUAAUCUUUGAAUCUGCAUCGCGACGGGGAUAGAUUAUUGCAAUUAUUAAUCUUCAACGAGGAAUGCCUAGUAGGCGCAAGUCAUCAGCUUGCGUCGAUUACGUCCCUGCCCUUUGUACACACCGCCCGUCGCUCCUACCGAUUGGGUGUGCUGGUGAAAUGUUCGGAUCGGCCGUUUGUCGCGGUUUCCGCGUCAUGUGGCUGAGAAGUUCAUUAAACCCUCCCACCUAGAGGAAGGAGAAGUCGUAACA
rnacentral:rRNA from 1 species